CAGCACUUGGGAAAUGUCUUGCGCAAAAUGUUCCCUCAAGCCAGCUUUAUGCAGCUCCCUCAACCUACUGGUCCUGACACAGGCUCCUGCCGUACACCAGAGUGGCUGAUUCAUGGUCAAGGCUGCUGGGCAUGGUGGAGUGAACUGGCCUUGGAUGAUAUUGCAGCAUGGUGGACAGAUCAAAUGCAGCCAGAAGUGACCUUUUCCUGGAAGUCCAGCCUACAGGGGAAUCCAUCCUGGUGACUUCCUAACACCUAGGUUGUGCAACGGAAGAUUGAGAAAUGUAGGAAUCCUGGCUUAGAGAAAAAUCUACAACCUGCCUCUUCUGGGAAAAAAAAAAAAAACUGGCCAGGUCACAGACCCAUGGAUCAGAAGCAGCCCUUCCUGCUGGCUCUCAUCCACAAAGCCACAGAGAUGCUACUGACACCAUCAGGGUUCUGAUCCCCAAGCCAACCUCUGUUCUGUACUCCUGGCUCUGCUGUCUGACACCUGCUCAGCUUGGCUCCAGGCUCCCAUUGCAGCUUGGAUCCAUUACCCCCCCCCCGCC
rnacentral:lncRNA from 1 species